GUUUACCAAAAACAUAGCCCUUAAAAUAAUUAAAGGUGUGACCUGCCCAAUGGUUAUUAAAUAAAACAUGUUAAAAUCAUUUUAAAAUAACUUAAAGGACGCGGUAUCUUGACCGUGAUAAUGUAGCAUAAUCACUCGCCACUUAAUUAGUGGAUUGUAUGAAUGGUUAAACGAAUAUAAAACUGUCUCGAAUAAAGAAUUUAUAAAAUUGGAGUAAUAGUAAAGAUACUAUUAUAAAUUAUAAGACGAAAAGACCCUAUAGAGCUUAACUAUAAUUUCUUUAAUAAAUAGUAAAUUCAUUUACUUAUACAAAGAAACUGGUAGUUUAGUUGGGGCGACUAUCUUCUAAAAACAACGAAGAUAAACAAAAUUAAUUAAAUAAUUUAUUGUAUAAUUAAUAUAUUUAACAAUUACAAACGUAGGUAAUAAUGACCCGUUUUCCUUGUAGAAAAAAGAAAACGAUCAAUAAAUAAAAGCUACCUUAGGGAUAACAGGAUAAUUUUAUUUUAGAGAUCCUAUCGAAAAUAAAGUUUGUCACCUCGAUGUU
rnacentral:rRNA from 1 species